rnacentral:rRNA from 1 species
UACGUAGGGGGCUAGCGUUAUCCGGAAUUACUGGGCGUAAAGGGUGCGUAGGCGGUCUUUCAAGCCAGAAGUGAAAGGCUACGGCUCAACCGUAGUAAGCCUUUGAAACUGGGAAACUUGAGUGCAGGAGAGGAGAGUGGAAUUCCUAGUGUAGCGGUGAAAUGCGUAGAUAUUAGGAGGAACACCAGUUGCGAAGGCGGCUCUCUGGACUGUAACUGACACUGAGGCACGAAAGCGUGGGGAGCAAACAGGAUUAGAUACCCCCGUAGUCCCUGAG